CCUACGGGUGGCAGCAGUAGGGAAUCUUCCACAAUGGGCGAAAGCCUGAUGGAGCAACGCCGCGUGGAUGAAGAAGGUCUUCGGAUCGUAAAACCCUGUUGUUAGAGAAGAAAGUUCGUGAGAGUAACUGUUCACGUUUCGACGGUAUCUAACCAGAAAGCCACGGCUAACUACGUGCCAGCAGCCGCGGUAAUACGGCGGUGGAGAGCGUGAUCUGGUUGGUUUGGGCGUAAAGGGAGCGACGUCGGGCUUUUAAGUAGGAUGUGAAAGCCUUCGGCUGAACCGGUGUAGUGGAUGGGAAACUGGGGUACGUGAGUGCAGAAGAGGAGAGUGGAACUGGAGGUGUAGCGGUGAAAUGCGUAGAUAUAUGGAAGAACACCAGUGGCGAAGGCGGCUCUCUGGUCUGUAACUGACGCUGAGGUUCGAAAGCGUGGGUAGCAAACAGGAUUAGAUACCCGAGUAGUC
rnacentral:rRNA from 1 species